rnacentral:rRNA from 1 species
UACAGAGGGUGCGAGCGUUGUCCGGAAUCACUGGGCGUAAAGGGCGCGUAGGCGGCCCGGUAAGGUUGCGGUGAAAGCCCGGGGCUCAACCCCGGGUCGGCCGUGGCAACUGCUGGGCUGGAGCACAGUAGAGGCGGGUGGAAUUCCGGGUGUAACGGUGGAAUGCGUAGAGAUCCGGAAGAACACCGGUGGCGAAGGCGGCCCGCUGGGCUGUUGCUGACGCUGAGGCGCGACAGCGUGGGGAGCAAACGGG